rnacentral:rRNA from 1 species
CACGUAGGCGGAUCAGAAAGUUGGGGGUGAAAUCCCAGGGCUCAACCCUGGAACUGCCUCCAAAACUCCUGGUCUUGAGUUCGAGAGAGGUGAGUGGAAUUCCAAGUGUAGAGGUGAAAUUCGUAGAUAUUUGGAGGAACACCAGUGGCGAAGGCGGCUCACUGGCUCGAUACUGACGCUGAGGUGCGAAAGUGUGGGGAGCAAACA